AUUCUGCCCAAGCGGGGAAGGAUGAGAAGCUUCGACCAAGGUUCGACUUGAGCGCCAGCGAGAGAGCGUUGCCGCAGGCAACGACCCGAAGGGCGAAGCGCGCAGCGCUGA
rnacentral:sRNA from 2 species